CCUACGGGUGGCAGCAGUGAGGAAUAUUGGUCAAUGGACGCAAGUCUGAACCAGCCAUGCCGCGUGCAGGAAGACGGCCCUAUGAGUUGUAAACUGCUUUUGUACGAGGGUAAACGCAGACACGCGUACCUGUUUGUAUGUAUUGUACGAAUAAGGAUCGGCUAACUCCGUGCCAGCAGCCGCGGUAAUACGGAGGAUUCAAGCGUUAUCCGGAUUUAUUGGGUUUAAAGGGUGCGUAGGCGGUUGGUUAAGUUAGAGGUGAAAUUCUGCGGCUCAACUUCGGAAUUGCCUUUGAUACUGGUCGGCUAGAGAGUAGUUGCGGUAGGCGGAAUGUGUGGUGUAGCGGUGAAAUGCUUAGAUAUCAUACAGAACACCGAUUGCGAAGGCAGCUUACCAAGCUACUUCUGACAUUGAGGCACGAAAGCGUGGGGAGCAAACAGGAUUAGAUACCCUUGUAGUC
rnacentral:rRNA from 1 species